GAUUGGGUUGUUGACCCUAGUUGUAGGGUAUCCUCACUUGGAGAGGAUAGAUCUAGCUCACAGUCUGCUUUUGGGGUGGUAUAGCCAUCCAUAUCCCCACAUGGAGGGGAUUGUCGUCGAGUACUCCGGAGUGUCGUGCGACUAGGACCACUUGGAGGUCCGGACCACAUGGAGGUCCACAGAAGGUCCCGGGCUUGGGUGCACUUGGAGCUCCCUCCCCACUUUGGGAUUGAAAGGUGAGUUAUUGGCGAACCCAAGGGCUUCGCUACAGAUUGGGUAAAAGAAUAGUAAACAAUGUCAUUGAACAUUAUUAUUCGAACAUGGAUCGAAUUCGUUAGCAUGAUAGUAAACCUUUACUAUAUGAUGCAUGCAUUCAUUACAUAUGAUUAUGGGCAUAGUAGCAUAGUUUUCCUACUAUCGCAUUACAGCUUUCAGAUAUCUAUCUAUCUAUCUACCUGUUGUUGCUUGUGCCCACUUGGACCUAGUGGAGAGAUCGACAGAGUCGGCGGCCGAGCCCACUGGAAACUUUGGAAGAUAGUUCUCACCCUACUCUAUUUCCAGUGGUAGGUACAGGACCGAGAGAGGACUGCGGCAAGGGCAUCGCGCCCGAUCAGUGAGACCGUGGUAGCAUAGUAGCUUUUCUUUUUGCAUUAGCACACCUAUGUAUUGAGAGAGAUUUAUUAUAGGUGAGGACUUGGAGAGCUAUGUAUUUUGGGUGAAUGACGUAAUCAUUUAAAGAAAUUGAUGUAAAUGAAAAGGAUAAACUAUUGUAAUAGUUAGUAAAGUACUCUCUUUAUUUCACUUAUUUUUACUUGUGGAUUACUUGCUCUUAGUUGUUGGCACUACUUGUGCCCCGUUGAAUGUGUAUGUUUAGAAUUUAGAUUCCUGGAAAAUUCUUGUACACAUUCUUAUUGUGAGCCUUGGGCGGACAGGGGAGGUACUGUCCGUUCGGCGGUCUGCUUGCCGCGCCCGAAUUGUGCCAAAUUGGUAGUGGUUUCGGGGCGGGGCGUGACAGCUGUUGUGGUAUCAGAGCAAUGAGAGUAAGUAAAGAGAGAAAGUCUAGGAUGACCUAGGAGACCCUAGGUUGGUAAGCCCUAGGGUUAUAGGUGCGUGAGCGGAACGUGAACCUAUAGCGAUGGCGGAAGUUGAUUCAAUUGGGUCGAAGUUGGUAACAUGUCUCUAGUUGUGAUUAGAGACGGAUUCAAGUGGUAUGAGUUCUUGUCUUGAGGUGGUUGUGUCGGCGGCCGACGACAUGAUACCAAGAGUCUAGAAUGAGUACACUUGUGUGCUUCCGUCCGAUUUUGUUGUUGACUCGUCAUGUGUCGUAAUUGCGACGAGGUAAUUGGUUAAGAUGACUGACCAAGUAAUUGCGUUUCAGGGACUAAUGUCUCCAAGACGCUACACACGUAGAAUUGCCCCAGCACCGACUCCUGAGGUGCCCGAGCAGGAGGAACCGAGUGUGAUCGAUCGGUUGCAAGCGCAAGUGACCGUGCUCACCAACGUGGUGCAGCGCCAGGAGACCAGAUUCGAGCGGCUCCAGGACUUAUUGGAGCGGCAGAUCGCGGCGGCGGCUGCGACGGCAAAUGAAGGCGGCGGCCCGCCCGCUCCCUCGACUCAUGUACCGGGAGCGGCAGAGGGUGAGGGCAUAGCGGCGGUUCCGGUGAUGGCACGCCCACCGCCAGUGAUCGUACCAUAGACGGCAUCGGGAUCGGCUACACCUGAUGUGUCGGCCGAAGACGUGGAGGGAGAGCGCGCAUUGGCGGCUCUUAUCAAGUUCAACAAGUUCCAUCUGCCAACCUUCGAGGGCCAGAAGGUGGAACCGGAGAUGGUCGAGUCUUGGAUUGACUCGAUGGAAACCCUCUUCUGUCACGCCCCGCGACUGCCCGCCUAUUUGGCCGAGUCGCGGCGCCGCCAACAGAUCGCCGAACGGACAGGGUUUGCCCUGUACUGCGGACAGAGUCUCCCCUGUACGUUCAAGGCAUAGCAAUCAAUACAAUGUAUAAAGUUCCAACCAGGAACACAUUUCAAUCAAGAUUGCAAUAAUGAAAGGUAUCAAACAACAUAAACACAUCCUAUAUUAUUACAUUCAUUCACAUUAGAUUCAUUUUACAUCACAAUUACAUAAUACAUUCUUUUUAGCUUCCAAAUACAAUCUAGCUUUAACAAUAUUAUUACAACUUGAUNGAUGAAAAUCCAUCCUUGAGCUUCAAUCUCCACCAAAACCCUCUCUUUUUGGGAGAGAUUUAGAGAGAGAAAGGGAGAUCUCUCUCUCCCUCCAUGUAUGCGUGUGUGUGUGUGGCGCAUGUGUGUGUGGGCUGCACGGUUGGGGGAGAAGAAGAAGCAUUUGCUUCUUCAUAAUACACCCCAAAACACUAUUCAUCCUGGGCAGCUUAAAAUCUGAUAACUUUCGCCGGAGCUUCCUGAAUGUCCGUUUGAGCUCAAAUUUGACAGUCAUGUUCGGUUUUACUUAACUUAACAAGCUGACGAUCGCUGGUUCAGUUUCGACCCUGUUUGGUCACUGAAAACUGUACCGAACUGCAAUCUUUAUCAGAUAGCUUUCGAAUUUUAUUUCUCACUCUAUGGGUGUCAGAAAAAUAUGAAACCUUAAAUCUAGCCUCAUAAAAAUAUUUCUGACAUCUUUGCCAAUUUUCAUAAUUUUCUGAGACUGUGCAUUUUCUGCUAAUUUAUCUGCCCCGUUUCCAACAGAAAAUUUUAAAUCUUCUGUUUUAAUUCCGAUUUCAGCACAAGUCACUUCUGACUUAUGUUUUACUUCUAUAAAUCCAAUAAAAAUAGUUUCCCACACUAAUUUUAUUUAUUUUUAUUUUUAUACCAAAAUCUGGUAUGUUACAUCUUCGAUGAUUUGCGUACCUUGGAGAGGGACAAGGUGUAUCUCGCCACCCAUUGCUUGGAAAAGGCGGCAAAGGUCUGGUGGAAGCGCGUCAAGCGGGAUCGGCUUCCCGGCCUUCCGCCCAUGUUGUGGGAGGAAUUUAAGCGGGAGAUGUUCGCCAACUAUUUCUCUGAUACAUUGAAGCGGAAGCUCAAGAAGAAAUUUCGCAAGUUGGAGCAAGGGGAACGCUCAGUGGCGGAGUAUGAGCAAGAAUUCUCCCAUAUUAUAGAUUGCGUCCCGGAUGUUGUAAAGGGUGACCGGGACCGGGCCGAGUGGUUCUUGCGAGGACUUCGGUCGGGAAUCUACAAGGCAGUGCAAAUACUCAAGCACAUGACCUUUGUGGAGGUCUUCGAUCGAGCGCUGUGGGCGUAGCAUGGAGAUGGCCACGUUCGGGAGUAGCGUGAGCUUUUGGCCGAGUCCAAGGAUAAGGGCAAGAAGCGCCAAGGCGGCGGCAGUUCGGGAGGACAAACACGUUACAAGAAACCCUCGAAGUAUCCGCGCACUCAACAGAAGAGCGAUGGAGCGCGGCGAUGCAUUGUAUGCGGCGGAGACCACCCAGUCUCGUGCUGUGAGCAAGGUUGUCACGCCCCGGGACCCAGCGGAAGCGCGCCGGGCACGUGCCCAGACCCGCCAUAAGUCUAAAACAUAUAAGGCGUCUAAAAACAGCAAUAAUAAAAGACAUCUAGGAGUAUCAGAGCAUAAUAAAUGUCUAAAUGCUACAACAAAGGAUAAGGGUAAAGCUAUAAAUCCACUAAAUAAAAAAAUAUAAAAUGAUACAAGAAAAUCCCAAAUACAAGUGCUAUAGGUAGAUACAUAGGUGGUCUCUACACAUGGAUACAAAACCUCUCACUCUCUCAACUACAAAAGAAAGAGUAAACCAUCUAGGCAAAGUACCGCUCCUCGCUAGCUAGCUAAGCGAUCCCCUUGCCGCGAUCCCGUGCCUCCGCCGGUGCCGAAGGCUCUGAAAAGGAAACCAUAAAACAGGGGCGUGAGAACUAUUAAAAAUAGUUUCCAGUGGGCAAUUACUGACUUCAGUGAAUGCACCACAAGGCCCAAAGCUACAAAAGAUGUCAGUGACAAUAACAGUAGAAAAGCGAAAGGUAAGUAAAAAUAAUNNNNNNNNNNNNNNNNNNNNNNNNNUAAUAUAACGCUACCUACAACAUGAAUCUCUACUUACGCGUAAUUAGCAUAAGUAUGAGCCAAUAUGCUGAAUAAAGUCCCCAACUAUCAUAAUGUUUCACAAUGCGAAAUAGUAAAGUUUCGCGUUGUUUUACUAUUCAAGUCAAAUGUCCAAAAAAAUAAUCUAAGUCAUCAUCUGUCCACAUGUCAUCAAAUGAUGACUUCAAGUCAAAUCUGAAGAGACCCACCGAGGCUGUCUAAACUGGCCCUGAAGAACCACACCCGUAGGCUGUCUGGCCGGUGCCAGAGCCAAAUAAAUGGCUCCCGUUGGUAGUAACAUCCCCACCCCUAGGAAUGAGCUGGCCAACGCAAUCCACUUCGCGCCCAAUCCCGACGGCGAUAUGAAUCCCGCGAAUGGCUAUCUCCGGAGUGCCGCUUUGUAGGGAUGCACCCCUCACCCAGCCAUGUGCGAAUGAGCGCAUCCAAUGCAAAGUAGGCAAACCAGAGUCUGUCGCAAGUACCUACGCACAUGUCAAUAACAUGAUUGUGUCAAAGUAAUCUCAACCGCCCCUAUCCCUAUGUCAUCAUGUCUCCUAACAUGGAAUGUUAGGCCUGAUAAUAGGUGGCCAUGCAAUAGUCCCUAUGUUGCAGUUUCCUAUAGUUACGAUAGUUCAAGUGGCCCUUGAAUGACCCCACCCUCUUGUUCGCUAUGCUCAACUUGAACUGGCAACUAUGUUCGCAAAAGUAUAGUCGUCCAAGUCAUUAAUUCUUCCAUAAGAGAGUAAUUUUUCACUUGCAAAAAUAAACACUUUCCCCCGUAUGCAUGCAUCUAGCUCAUAUAGCUCUACUAUAUAGUGAAGUUUUCAUAAUACACAUGGCAAUGCAUUUUUAAGUCUCAAAACCAUAUAAAUUCCCCAUUUAGCAAUAGAAAUGAACUUCAAAAACUAAUUUACAACAAGUAGAAGACCAAGGGGGGCUCCCAUUUCGCCCAUGUCCACGAAGCCAAUACCGCACCCAACAAACUCCUCUGCAACCUUGCAAGCUUCCCAACGAAGAUCCACCUAAGCCUUCCCCCUACACCCUAAAACGAUGUAGGACAACGGGUUAAAUGAACGCUACGAUAACCCUAACUCAAACCCCCCGAUAAGCAACAUCCAGGCAAGAUGGAGAAAAACUCACCUAGGGAAAAAUCUCCUCUAGUCUCCAAAAUGGAGUUAGGAGUACCUCAAAUCCAACAUAAAAUAAAGGCUUCCAAACCCAUCCAAGUAGGUCUCAAACCCCUCAAAAUCAAAAACCCCCAAUAAACCUAUCAAAAAAUCAAGGUUCAUCUAGUAACAACCAGGAAAACUGUAUACAAUGGGGAUACAGAGCCACCAAAACCUCAAGAAGAGCUCCACCAACUCAAAAACCAAGUAUGGGGGGUGAAUUUGAUCCUCCACAAAGCUCGCAACCGCAAGUUCAAAAGCCACCCAAAAGUGACGAAAUGGGAAGAAGAUGAGCCUCGCAAGGCCUCCCUAACACUCCUUCUCCUCUUCUCUUCCCUUCUUCCCUUCCUUCUCGCCUCUCUUAUUCUCUCCUAUAGAAUGCAAAGGGUGAGAGAAAUAGGAAAAGAGAUAGAAGAAAGGCUCUCUAUAGGCCCUCCUAAAGUAACAAAAUCCCCUGUAAGGCCUCAAAAAAAUUCAAAAUCACAUAAAGCCCGGUCUGCAGCUUUCGCCCAGCAGGACCGUCACUCCCCCGACCCCUGCGGACCGGUCUCUUCAGCCUGGCCGCCCCGGAUAAAUCCAACCGUUCGGGAACCGGUCCUCUCCCUACGCGGGAACCGGUCUCUCCACGCGCAGACGCGUCGGAUCCGGUCUCGACAGCCCAGGGACCGUCUCGCCGGCCUUGCGCAGGCAUUGUUCACUGGGGACCCCGUACUCCUAUCCAGGGACGCUCAGUCCUCGAGGUAAAUAACUCUCAGGACUCAGCCAAAAUCUCCGAGAGCUGAACUUUUAGGCCGGUAACAUCCAUUGACGACUCUCCACCAAGUGUGAAAGUUUCGAAUACAAAAACCGAACCUCGACACCUCGCAAUUUGUGAAGAGGUCCAGUGUGCUAGCAAAGGCCGAGGCAAGUGCUACAAGUGUGGGUUGCAGCGCCGGGCAUCUUCAUUCGAUGAUGCCCGGAGGAGCGGAGCCCCCAACCUGCCCCAUCGAUUGCACUGUGCCAGCGAUCCGCUCACCUUGGAUGGGAGUCCACCGACGCCACGCGUCUACGGACCGCGUGGGAUCGCCGCCGUCAAAACGAAGUGACGGCGAUCCGGGCACGAUGCGAGGGUAUUGCCGCUCAGUGUCCAAGCCGAGGAACCUGCGAGGCGGGAGCAUCGCCUUGUGGGCAGGUCAUGUUUUAAUACGGAGUACUCCUAGGCUUAAUUUGAUACAGAGCCAUGCAUUCUCAUAAGUUAGAUCAUUCUCACGCAUGCAUGACAUACUCAUAGAGGCGAGUGACAAGUGGCAGAGUUGAGGCCCUGGUCGACAUUAAUACCCUAGCUCCGGAGUGUGCGUCUUCCAAGUACAAGUGGGGCGGGUGACUGGAAAUGCCUAUUCGGACCGCUAGACACUCAACCCAGAAGCUGAGCUUAUGACGCAUUUCUGGCAAUGACGCCCUCGAGUACCAGCAACGAAUCGAUCUGCAACGGCAGAUGGUGAUCACACUUCCGGAGCCAAGACAAGCAGGAGUUCACAUAUCAGCUUGUUAAUAGCUCAUGCUCGUCGGCAUACAGUGUCGGCGAUGAGAGCAAGGAAGUUGGUAACAGCGGUUGGCACGAUACUCUUGUGGCAACUGUUGUGGAAGUGGAACAAGGAGCUCAACAUUACAGGAGUUCGUGGUGGCGGAGUUCCUCCAAAAAGAUGUGUUUCCCUGUGGAGUUGUUCAGGGAUAGCCCACCGAUCGAGAGAUCGAUUGUCAUAGACUUGGUCCCGUCUGCACCGACUCGAAGACUCGUAGAAUGGCGCCCCGCAGAACGAAAGAGUGAGAAUUCAAACCUGCAAGACCUCCCGACAACAAAUAACGGCCCGAAACUGUAUCACCGAGGGUGCCCGCGUGUUGUUUCUACGGAAGAAGGAUUGGAUCGUUCGACUCUGCGUGAAAAAUUUUUUUUAAACGAGAGUUGAGCAGAGUCACGAUCAAGAACAAGUGGCCCACUCUUCUUCUUCUUCCUCUUCUUCUCCCUCUCUUAUUCUCUCUCUAGAAUGCAAAGGGUGGAGAGAAAUGAGGGAAAGAGAGAGAAGAAAGGCUCUCUAUAGGCUCUAAAGUAACAAAAUCCUGAUAAGCCCCUCAAAAAUUCAAAAUCACAUCAGCCCGGUCUGGGCAGUUUUCGCCCAGAGGGACCGGUCUCCCCGACCUGGGACCGGUCUCUCAGCCUGCCCCCGAAAAUCCAACGUUCGGGAACCGGUCUCUCCCUGCGCGGGACCGGUCUCUCCCCGCGCAGACGCGCUCGGGGACCGGUCUCGACAGCCAGGGACCGGUUGCCUCGCCGGCUGCGCAGCAUUGUUCACUGGGGGACCGGUCUCUCCUAUCAGGGACCAGUCCUCGAGAGUAAAAACUCUCAGGACUCAGCCAAAACUCUCGAGAUCGAACUUUUAGGCCGGUAUACCAUUGACGACUCUCCACCAAGUGUGGAAAAGUUCGGAAUACAAAUCGAACACUCGAACCUCGCAAUUUGUGAAGGUCCAGUGUGCUACAAAGGCCGAGGCAAGUGCUACAAGUGUGGGCAGCCGGGGCACUUCAUUCGAGAUUGCCCGGGAGGAGGAGCCUCACCUGCCCCAUCGAUUGCAUCGGUGCCGGCGAUUCCGGCUCACUAUGGAGGAGUUCCACCGACGGCCGCGUCUACGGGACGCGUGAUGAUGCCGCGUCAACCUGAAGUGACGCGAUCGGCCCCGAGCGGAUGGGUAUUUGCCGCUCAGGUCCAAGCUGAGGAACCUGCGGAGGCGGAGGAGCAUCGCCUUGUGGCAGGUAUGGUUUUAAUUAACGGAGUUCACUCUAGGGCUUUAUUUGAUACAGGAGCCAUGCAUUCAUUCAUAAGUAGAUCAUUCGCACGCAUGCAUGACAUACUCAUAGAGGCGAGUGACAAGUGGCGAGUUGAGGGCCCUGGGUCGACAUUUAAUACCUACUCGGAGUGUGCGUCGUGUCAAGUACAAGUGGGUGACUGGAUAAUGCCUAUUCGGACGCUAGAACUCCAGAAGCUUGAGGCUUAUGACGUCAUUCUGGGCAUGGACUGGCUCUCGAAGUACCAUGCAACGAUCGACUGCAAGAGCAGGGUGAUCACAUUCCGUGAGCCAAGACAAGAGGAGUUCACAUAUCAGGCUUGUUAAAGCUCAUGCUUCGUCGCAACAGUGUCGGCGAUGAGAGCAAGGAAGUUGGUUAACAGCGGUUGCACGAUAUUUUUGGCAACUGUUGUGGAAGUGGAACAAGUAGCUCCAACAUUAGAGGAGUUAUCGGUGGUGCGGGAGUUCCUCGAUGUGUUUCCUGUGGAGUUGCAGGGGAUACCACCGGAUCGAGAGAUCGAGUUUGUCAUAGACUUGGUUCCCGGUACUGCACCGAUCUCGAAGACUCCGUACCGAAUGGCGCCGGCAGAACUGAAAGAGUUGAGGAAUCAACUGCAAGACCUCCUCGACAAGCAAUUUAUACGGCCAAGUGUAUCACCGUAGGGUGCCCCGGUGUUGUUUCUACGGAAGAAGGAUGGAUUGUUUCGACUCUGCGUGGAUUACCGAGAGUUGAGCAGAGUCACGAUCAAGAACAAGUGCCCACUACCCCGAAUCGAUGAUUUGUUCGAUCAGUUGCAAGGGUCGUGUGUGUACUCGAAGAUAGAUUUGCAGUCCGGCUACCACCAACUAAAGAUCAAGCCGGAGGAUGUGCAGAAAACUGCGUUUCGUACGCGGUAUGGACACUACGAAUUCACGGUCAUGCCAUUUGAACUCACAAAUGCUCCAGCGGCAUUUAUGGAUUUGAUGAACCAUGUCUUCAAGAAGUAUUUGGACCGAUUUGUCGUGGUCUUCAUAGACGACAUACUGGUCUAUUCUCGCAGUGACGAGGAACAUGCCGAGCAUUUAAGAAUAGUGCUUCAAGUCCUUCGGGAUGAGAAGCUAUAUGCUAAGCUGAAGAAGUGUGACUUCUGGCUCCGCGAGGACGCCUUCUUAGGGCAUGUGAUUUCCGCGGGUGGAGCUUCUGUAGACUCGAGGAAAGUUGAGGCAAUCAAGGAUUGGCCGUACCCGACGAAUGUCACGGAGUUCGAAGCUUCGUGGGCUUGGUGGGCUAUUAUAGGCGGUUUGUGGAAGGCUUUUCCAAAAUAGUGAUUCCACUUACCCGCCUGACUCAGAAAGACACCAAGUUUGUUUGGAGCGAAAAGUGCGACCUGAGUUUCAAAGAGUUGAAGCAAAGAUUGACUUCGACCCCGGUGCUUGCUCUGUCGGUGCAGGGCGAAGACUUCGUGAUCUACAGUGAUGCCUCUUAUCUUGGAUUGGGGUAUGUCUUGAUGCAAAACGGGAAGGUAAUUGCCUACGCAUCCCGUCAGCUGAAGAGCUAUGAAAAGAACUACCCCAUCCAUGAUUUGGAGCUAGCGGCGGUGAUUUUCGCCUUGAAGCUGUGGAGGCACUACUUAUAUGGUGCCCAUUGUGAGAUCUAUACCGACCACAAGAGCUUGAAGUACCUGUUCAUACAGAAGGAGCUCAAUAUGCGUCAGUUGCGGUGGUUGGAGCUAUUAAAGGAUUAUGAUGUGGAUAUCCUCUACCACCCCGGGAGAGCCAAUGUGGUCGCUGAUGCGCUGAGUAGGAAGUCAGCGGAGAACCUUGCCAUGUGGGUUACAAAUCAAUCACCCCUAUGGCUGGAGAUGGAGCGACUGGACCUCGAAGUAGUUACUCCCGAGACUCCAGCUCAGUUGAUGGCACUCGUUGUCCAACCGACCUUGUUGGAGAAGAUCAAAGAUUUGCAACCCGCAGACCAAGAACUCCAAAAGGUGCGGCGAAACAUCGAGGAAGGGCAUGGCGGCAAUUUCAAGCUAGCAUGAUAGUAAACCUUUACUAUAUGAUGUAUGCAUUCAUUACAUAUGAUUAUGGGCAUAGUAGCAUAGUUUUCCUACUAUCGCAUUACAGCUUUUAGAUAUCUAUCUAUCUAUCUACCUGUUGUUGCUUGUGCCCACUUGGACCUAGUGGGGAGAUCGGCAGAGUCGGCGGCCGAGCCCACUGGAAACUAUGGAAGAUAGUUCUCACCCCACUCUAUUUCCAGUGGUAGGUACAGGGCUGCCGAGAGAGGACCGCGGCAAGG
rnacentral:lncRNA from 1 species